UGGUAUUAAUUACGGUGUUGAUAUUGGUGUGUGGGAUAGAGGACCGGUGAAGCCAACUCAUUAAGUACGAUAGUUUGGAAGUGGCAUGCGGUGUUACAAUUAGAGGGUAGGUGUUGCCUGAGCUGUUACCUAAUUCUUAAAUUAUUCUUUUGCAAACAAGUAUUAUGAGAACUGAGGAUACAGUGGAACCAUGCGCGCUUUGGGGUCUGAAGGGGUAUCCAAGUGCACGGGUUCGAAUCCUGUCCACGGUCAGUGUAGGUUGGGCUUCCUCAUUCGGGGCAACGGUUUCCUAGCGGGUGGGCUUUGAUAGGAGGUACCCUAAACAGUAUCCCCUUUAGCCCAUAAAUUCCCGUGAAAAGCCCACAUGGUAUAAAUAAAGUACUUUAAACAUUCUACUAGUUGUAUAAUGACUUGGCUUUCGUCUCGUGAUAGUUAUGCAUAUUGAUUGCAGCGGGUCUCGGUAUCACCAUCGCGUAGGUAUCCACGACAGGGCUGAACUAUUUGGUUGUGAUGAACUACACAGCUGCCGGGAGGGCAUGGAGCACACACCUAUGGCAGAGUUGUUACGACCAGCCAGCGCCAGCAACUUAAGGAACGGUGAUCAGUGAUCGGUGAUGUGGAACUGUUGGCCUGCCGUGGAGUGAUGUGACGUGCUGCUGCUGCUGCGUGCUGCGUGAAUGCGAGGUGAUGUGAUGGAAGAAUUGGUUAUCGGCUUGACGGUCUGUGCAAAUAUUGAUGAACUGCGCGUGUCCUAUCGACCAUACUCCUUCAAUUAGUCGAUACAAUGGCUGUAGGGCGACGCAGCUGCCGAGAGAACAUGGUACGUGCACAGAGGCCAGAACUGUGAUGAAGAACCAGCGCCAGCGACAAGGGGACGGAUUUGGCCAGUGUCAGCGAGAGGGCGAGGGAGAUCUUGGGUGGUUUUGGCCUGCGGUUCAGAGCGGCGAAGUGCUGUGACGUGCCGCUGGUGGUUCAGAUGCUGUCACUGUUGAAGUGUCGCCGCUAAUCGAUCACCAUCCUGCUCCAGGAAACGGGACUGGUACUGCACUGGGACACGGAUGCCGCCAUCUGCCUUGCGUCACCACCUAGGGAGGGACUCUGCACCUCACACCUCAUUGCCCUGCAGGGAGGAAGCUUGCCAUGCAGGAAGGACAGAAUUCUGCUUUUUUCUUUGUAAAGUGUAAACUGGCCAAGGGCAAAAAAAUAAAGGUUUACUCAAUUGCCGGAUUUCAUGAGUUCAAUAGUUCGCCAAAAGACUAGUUAGCAGAAGACGGACAAAUAUAUGAUGGAAAUACAGAAGCAGGCUGAGAGUUCCAGAGUUUACUGUUUCUGCCAAUGCCUAGCUGCUUCCUACCUGGAGUGUACUGCUGAUUUGAUGUUAAUUCCUAUAUCUGAAUAUAAUGUAGAAAUGUGGUUCCAGUACUCAUUAAUAAAUUAUGAAAUUGUA